GAUCGGCAUCGGAACGAAAACCA
rnacentral:piRNA from 1 species